AACGGCCGUACCAUGCUGAAUAUACCAGUUCACCGAAGUUAAGCAUCAUUGGGCGCGGUCAGUACUUGGGUGGGUGACCACCUGGGAACACUGCGUGCCGUU